GUAAGGAAUAUUGGACAAUGGACGCAAGUCUGAUCCAGCCAUGCUGCGUGAAGGAUUAAGGUCCUCUGGAUUGUAAACUUCUUUUAUAAGGGACGAAAAAAGGCUUUUCUAAGUCGUCUGACGGUACCUUAUGAAUAAGCACCGGCUAACUCCGUGCCAGCAGCCGCGGUAAUACGGAGGGUGCAAGCGUUAUCCGGAUUCACUGGGUUUAAAGGGUGCGUAGGCGGGCAGGUAAGUCAGUGGUGAAAUCCUAGAGCUUAACUCUAGAACUGCAAUUGAUACUAUCUGUCUUGAAUAUUGUGGAGGUAAGCGGAAUAUGUCAUGUAGCGGUGAAAUGCUUAGAUAUGACAUAGAACACCUAUUGCGAAGGCAGCUUACUACGCAUAUAUUGACGCUGAGGCACGAAAGCGUGGGGAUCAAACAGGAUUAGAAACCCGAGUAGUCC
rnacentral:rRNA from 1 species